CAGGGUGUAGCGCAGUCUGGUUAGCGCGUCGUCUCGGGAAGGCGAAGGUCGGUUGGGUUCAAAUCCCCCCACUCUGA
rnacentral:tRNA from 1 species